rnacentral:rRNA from 1 species
CAGCAGCCGCGGUAAUACAGAGGUCCCAAGCGUUGUUCGGAUUCACUGGGCGUAAAGGGUGCGUAGGUGGUCGGGUAAGUCUGUUGUGAAAUCUCCAAGCUUAACUUGGAAACUGCAGUGGAUACUAUUCGGCUUGAGGAAUGGAGGGGAGACUGGAAUACUUGGUGUAGCAGUGAAAUGCGUAGAUAUCAAGUGGAACACCAGUGGCGAAGGCGAGUCUCUGGACAUUUCCUGACGCUGAGGCACGAAAGCCAGGGGAGCAAACGGGAUUAGAUACCCCGGUAGUCCUGGCCCUAAACGGUGCGCAUUUGCUGUGAGCGGAAUCGACCCCGCUCGUGGCGAAGCUAACGCGUUAAAUGCGCCGCCUGGGAAAUACGGCCGCAAGGUUAAAACUCAAAGGAAUUGACGG